AGGACGAACGCUGGCGGCGUGCUUAACACAUGCAAGUCGAGCGAGGCUCCUCCUUCGGGAGGAUGCCCUAGCGGCGAACGGGUGAGUAACACGUGGGCAACCUGCCCCUAGCACUGGGAUAACCCCGGGAAACCGGGGCUAAUACCGGAUACGACUUCGGAAGGCAUCUUCUGAAGUGGAAAAGGUUACUGGCUAGGGAUGGGCCCGCGGCCUAUCAGCUUGUUGGUGGGGUAAUGGCCCACCAAGGCGACGACGGGUAGCCGGCCUGAGAGGGCGACCGGCCACACUGGGACUGAGACACGGCCCAGACUCCUACGGGAGGCAGCAGUGGGAAUAUUGCACAAUGGGCGAAAGCCUGAUGCAGCGACGCCGCGUGAGGGAUGACGGCCUUCGGUGUAAACCUCUUUCAGCAGGACGAAGCGAAAGUGACGGUACCUGCAGAAGAAGCACCGGCCAACUACGCGCCAGCAGCCGC
rnacentral:rRNA from 1 species